CCGCAAGGCCGAUCUCUGGUGGCUGCAGUGGGUGCAGGGUAACAGCUGUGCGAGGUUACUGUGAGGAAAUUAGAGUGUUUAAAGCAGGCAGGAGGGCUUGAAUACAUUAGCAUGGAAUAACGGGAGUGGCUUGGGCCUCCUGUUGGUUGGGGGAAGCGAGCAAUGGUUAUAGGAACAGUUGGGGGCAUUAGUAUUUAGUAGUCAGAGGUGAAAUUCUUGGAUUUACUAAAGACUAACUAGUGCGAAAGCAUUUGCCAAGGAUGUUUUCAUUAAUCAAGAACGAAAGUUAGGGGAUCGAAGACGAUCAGAUACCGUCGUAGUCUUAACCAUAAACGAUGCCGACUCGGGCUCGGUGGAGGUCGCAUUAGACGCCAUCGGGAGCGUGUGAGAAAUCAAAGUUUUUGGGUUCUGGGGGGAGUAUGGUCGCAAGGCUGAAACUUAAAGGAAUUGACGGAAGGGCACCACCAGGAGUGGAGCCUGCGGCUUAAUUUGACUCAACACGGGGAAACUCACCAGGUCCGGACAUGAGAAGGAUUGACAGAUUGAGAGCUCUUUCAUGAGUGCAUGGGGAGUGGUGCAUGGCCGUUCUUAGUUGGUGGAGUGAUUUGUCUGGUUAAUUCCGAUAACGAACGAGACCUUAACCUGCUAACUAGGGGGUCUGGCGCGGGCCGGGCAGCUCUGCUUAGAGGGACUUGCUG
rnacentral:rRNA from 1 species